rnacentral:rRNA from 1 species
UUGAACGCUGGCGGCAUGCCUUACACAUGCAAGUCGAACGGUAACGGGCCUUCGGGUGCCGACGAGUGGCGACCGGGUGAGUAAUACAUCGGAACGUGCCCGAUCGUGGGGGAUAACGAGGCGAAAGCUUUGCUAAUACCGCAUACGAUCUACGGAUGAAAGCAGGGGACCGCAAGGCCUUGCGCGGACGGAGCGGCCGAUGGCAGAUUAGGUAGUUGGUGGGAUAAAAGCUUACCAAGCCGACGAUCUGUAGCUGGUCUGAGAGGAUGAUCAGCCACACUGGGACUGAGACACGGCCCAGACUCCUACGGGAGGCAGCAGUGGGGAAUUUGGACAAUGGGCGCAAGCCUGAUCCAGCCAUGCCGCGUGCAGGAUGAAGGCCUUCGGGUUGUAAACUGCUUUUGUACGGAACGAAAAGCCUUCUUUUAAUACAGGAGGGUCAUGACGGUACCGUAAGAAUAAGCACCGGCUAACUACGUG